UACGGAGGGAGCUAGCGUUGUUCGGAAUUACUGGGCGUAAAGCGCGCGUAGGCGGCUUUGUAAGUUAGAGGUGAAAGCCCGGGGCUCAACCCCGGAACUGCCUUUAAGACUGCAUCGCUUGAAUCCGGGAGAGGUGAGUGGAAUUCCGAGUUUAGAGGUGAAAUUCGUAGAUAUUCGGAAGAACACCAGUGGCGAAGGCGGCUCACUGGACCGGUAUUGACGCUGAGGUGCGAAAGCGUGGGGAGCAAACAGG
rnacentral:rRNA from 1 species